AGUCGGACGGCAGCACAGAGAAGCUUGCUUCUUGGGUGGCGAGUGGCGAACGGGUGAGUAAUAUAUCGGAACGUACCGAGUAAUGGGGGAUAACUAAUCGAAAGAUUAGCUAAUACCGCAUAUUCUCUGAGGAGGAAAGCAGGGGACCUUCGGGCCUUGCGUUAUUCGAGCGGCCGAUAUCUGAUUAGCUAGUUGGUGGGGUAAAGGCCUACCAAGGCGACGAUCAGUAGCGGGUCUGAGAGGAUGAUCCGCCACACUGGGACUGAGACACGGCCCAGACUCCUACGGGAGGCAGCAGUGGGGAAUUUUGGACAAUGGGCGCAAGCCUGAUCCAGCCAUGCCGCGUGUCUGAAGAAGGCCUUCGGGUUGUAAAGGACUUUUGUCAGGGAAGAAAAGGAUAGGGUUAAUACCCCUGUCUGAUGACGGUACCUGAAGAAUAAGCACCGGCUAA
rnacentral:rRNA from 1 species